GAGCUUGCUCUUAUGAAGUUAGCGGCGGACGGGUGAGUAACACGUGGGUAACCUGCCCAUAAGACUGGGAUAACUCCGGGAAACCGGGGCUAAUACCGGAUAACAUUUUGCACCGCAUGGUGCGAAAUUGAAAGGCGGCUUCGGCUGUCACUUAUGGAUGGACCCGCGUCGCAUUAGCUAGUUGGUGAGGUAACGGCUCACCAAGGCAACGAUGCGUAGCCGACCUGAGAGGGUGAUCGGCCACACUGGGACUGAGACACGGCCCAGACUCCUACGGGAGGCAGCAGUAGGGAAUCUUCCGCAAUGGACGAAAGUCUGACGGAGCAACGCCGCGUGAGUGAUGAAGGCUUUCGGGUCGUAAAACUCUGUUGUUAGGGAAGAACAAGUGCUAGUUGAAUAAGCUGGCACCUUGACGGUACCUAACCAGAAAGCCACGGCUAACUACGUGCCAGCAGCCGCGGUAAUACGUAGGUGGCAAGCGUUAUCCGGAAUUAUUGGGCGUAAAGCGCGCGCAGGUGGUUUCUUAAGUCUGAUGUGAAAGCCCACGGCUCAACCGUGGAGGGUCAUUGGAAACUGGGAGACUUGAGUGCAGAAGAGGAAAGUGGAAUUCCAUGUGUAGCGGUGAAAUGCGUAGAGAUAUGGAGGAACACCAGUGGCGAAGGCGACUUUCUGGUCUGUAACUGACACUG
rnacentral:rRNA from 1 species